UAGGGAAUAUUGGGCAAUGGGCGAAAGCCUGACCCAGCGACGCCGCGUGGGCGAUGAAGGCCUUCGGGUUGUAAAGCCCUGUCAUGCGGAAAGAACGACCCUGUGACGCAUACUCACAGGGAGUGACGGUACCGCAGGAGGAAGCACCGGCUAACUCCGUGCCAGCAGCCGCGGUAAUACGGAGGGUGCAAGCGUUGUUCGGAAUUAUUGGGCGUAAAGGGCGCGUAGGCGGUAAUGCAAGUCAGAUGUGAAAUACUCCGGCUCAACUGGGGAACUGCAUCUGAAACUGCAUAACUAGAGUACAGAAGAGGGAAACGGAAUUCCCGGUGUAGAGGUGAAAUUCGUAGAUAUCGGGAGGAACACCAGUGGCGAAGGCGGUUUCCUGGUCUGAUACUGACGCUGAGGCGCGAAAGCGUGGGGAGCGAACA
rnacentral:rRNA from 1 species